UAAUGAGGGAGCAUCUUCAAACUAAACUUGCAAAACAGUCUGUCCCCCUUAUUGUUGCUAGAAGAACGGAUAUUUAUAUACCAGUGUAUUUGGAAAAAGUAUUUUUAUGAUAUAAUGAAAUUAUAUCAUUAAUUAGAAGCACAAAGUAGAUUAUAAUAGUGACUGAGAAUCUAAUGGGGAAUAUGUAAAAUAGACGUCUUUACCUAAUACAGAGAUAGAGAUGGCGCUUGUGAUGAGGUCACACAGGUUGGU